CUACGGGGUGCUCCAGUUAGGAAUAAUCUACAAUGCACGCAAGUGUGAUAGUUUGAGCCAGAGUGUCUUUCAAUCGAAAGACUUUUGCCAGAUGUAAAAAGUCUGGCGAAUAAGGACUGGGUAAGACGAGUGCCAGCCGCCGCGGUAAUACUCGCGGUCCAAGUCGCAGCCAUUUUUAUUGGGUCUAAAACAUCCGUAGCUUGCUUUGUAAGUUUCUUGUGAAAUCCGGCUUCUUAAGAGUCGGGCGGGCAAGAAGUACUGCAGAGCUAGAGACUGGGAGGCGUAAGAAGUAAAAUCAAAGUAGCAGUUAAAUGCUUUAAUCUUGGUUGGACUAUCAAUUAGCGAAGGCAUCUUACGAGAACAGUUCUGACAGUAAGGGAUGAAGGCUAGGGGCGCAAAACGGAUUAGAUACCCUAGUAGUC
rnacentral:rRNA from 1 species